UCAACCUAGGAUGAACGAAAGUAAAGUUUUACCCAAAACUAUAUCCUACAGUCGUAAGAUUACUUUGUCAUCGGAAGAGGUUCACUAGCCAUGGUGAUGAGCUAGCCUACUCCCCUGUACAGUUUUCAAUUAGAUGCGAAUGGUUUCGACUGUGAACGGCGACUAGCGGGCGGCGAUCGAUGGGUGGGCUCGAUGGUGCGGUGCUCGGCGGAGGAUUCACUCACUUCCCUGUCCAUCUCCCUCCCGUCCUCUCGUGUGACCUGGAGGCCUACAAUGGCGGCGGGGGCGGAGCGUACUACAAUUUCGACUGCCGCGGUGACCCCUCCCAAAUCCACCCCACCGUUGUGUCAGCGUAGGCUCCCGUGAUAGCCAAUUUCACCGGAGAAUACGUCUGUGACAGCCGUCCUUUUGGCGGUACUGCAAAAAGGAGCUUCUGACGAGGGAGAUCAAGAAGAGUUUGUACCUUGUCCAUGGAAAUGGGAUGGCACCAUGUCAAUGGAGGAAAAGAAUUGUCAUGUCAAUGGCAAAGAGGAAGAGGAGCAAAAGGCUCCUGAGGAAGAGGAAGAGCACAAGACAAGAUUAUCUUAUUUGAUCCAGCCAAGGGUGAUUGCUCUGUUUCUUCUCUGCUUUUGAUGAACUAUUCCCUCCUUCCUUCGAGCUCCAUUAUUUUGAGCAAAUUGGCCUGGCCCUGCUUAAUCAAUUAAUUUCUCAUGGAAGGAAGAAAAUACUGAAAUUUAAAUUUGUUACCCUUCCUCGAUGGAGGCUGCAUUAUUUUCUUGAGCAGAUAACUCCUAUUCCAUUGUAGGUUCUCUACUUGCUAGAUGAGAGAGAAAAAUGGUUGUUCUGAAAAAAGUGUGAUUAAUUAGACAAGAUGACUUGUUUACUUGUAGUUAGUAGCUGCUACUUUGGAUGAUGAUUUACUCAUAUAGUUAGCUGUUGUAAUUCGCUAGUUUUUCACUAGUCAUUUGGUAACAGAAGAAAGUUAAACUCCAUGCCUCUGUAUCGAAGGAUGCAGGAAUAGUAAGGAACCUCAGUUUACAAAGAAAUACGCAUGAUAUCAAUGUGAAUGCCUGAUGCUUCCUUUUUGACACCGGUCAAAGCUAGCUAGCAUAUAUAGUCAUGGUAAUAGCACAUAUUCCAAAGGUAGGCAUGACUCUUAGUAGAUUUCUAUUGUGGAUACUUAUUAAUUCAAACUUUAAGCAUAUACUGUCUUUUCUUCUGAAGCUGCAUGAUGCGUCCUUUUUCUCCUCAUUUAAGAUCCAAGCUGCAGAGGUGACUCAUAAUAUAGGGCUGGAUAUUUUCUUGCCACUCACAACAUAUCAACAUAUUAAACUCAGUUACGCGGUUUGUAGACAUUCAUUAUAUUAACCGCCAGUUGCCCAACCUGACACUCUAACAGUUGAUUAUGUCUACUAACUUGGACACCGUAAAGGGAGAUUGCCUAAUUAUGCUGCACUCUGUUUUUUCUGUAACUUCUAUGUACAUCGUGUUACUUUCUAUGCUUCUUUCUGUAGUUUGAUUUCUUUUGUGGCUCAUUUUAUGGCCGAGGUAAUUUAGAUAGACUUUCAGUACACAAAAAAUCACACUAAUAUAGGUUAUUUACUAUCUUUAUUAUGUUGCAAGUUACUCGAAUGGCUAGACAUGGCUAUAGGCUCUCGAGUAAACUGGGCACUGACCUGCAAAAUCUGCGUUGCAAUAAAUUACCUUUCUAUUAGAUUUACUGAUCUAAUACAGUUUAUCAAUUUAAGUUCUCCCCUCAUCUUCUUGGUUGCAACUUGCAACUCUGGAUUUCUUUGAGUACAACUUUUAGACCAUCCACAAAGUAUAACAUCCAAAACUCCCUCAAAAUAUGACACUUACCAGACUUCUUUCAUGACAACAGGAAACAUACUUAUAGACAACUCAAAUACAAAAGUGUGAUCACAGAUUGAAAAUUGAUCUUUACUUGUUUGCCACUCCCAAAUUCUCCUCACGGAGAACAAAUAUUUCAACAUUUCCAUUUUCAGGUUAUUCCUUGCAUAUAUUCGUUUUGAAAGAAUGAAGGAUGGUUUUUUAUUUAUGGCAGUUCAGCUAAUGCCAUUAAAAUUUAGUGAUUAGUAUUUAACUGCCUCUCAGAUCCAGCCAUUACAAUUUUUAUUCAGUCUCCCUUUUGAUCCAGCCAUGACAACAUGUCGAUGUGCUCUUGUGUCUUGAUGGAAGAACAUGGUAUGAAGCAAUGGUGUCCCUGUGCAUAACAAAAUCAAUUGGUUUAAACUACAGAUCUUUCUAUCAGUGCAUAAUGCAGAAACGAUGUACGUAUUGUUUUUCUGUACUUGUAAAAGAACUUGUUAUGUUCCUCUGAUUAUUUCAGGUGUUUGCUUUUACAAGUCAAUCAGUACGUAUGAUUUGAGGGAUUAUAUUUGAUAUAGUGAAUCAGAAAUAUGUUUUAAGUUCAAUUUAAUUUUUAGAUCAUAUAACUUGUCUCGUAUUUCUGAAAUGAGCAAUCUUAUUCUUCAACUUGCAGAUUUUGUACCGGCUAAAUGUUAUUUUCUUUGUCAAGUUCUUGUACUGUUUCCUGAUUCUCAUGGAGAUGCUGUGGUUUCUUGCUGAUCCAGUUCCAAAAGAAUGUAUAUAUCUCCAUCUAGUGUUGUUUCUUGCUGUGGUUUGCUUAAAUAUUUUUCUUCAAUUAUGUAAUCUGUUCUCCU